GGCGGCGGCGACCCCGGACAGGACGCGGCCGGAGUGCAGCAGGGCCAUGGUGGGCGGCGAGAGGGCAGUGGACAGCUGCAGGACGGAACGGAGAGCCGGCGGGCGCGGACACGGAGGCGCGGGCUCCGUCUGAAGGAAGAUUCACCCGGAGCUAACAUCUGUUGCCAGUCUUCCUCUUCUUGUAUGUGGGCUGCCACCAUAUGCCUGCUGAUGAAUGGUCUGUGCUGGGAACCGAACCUGGGCCGCCAAAGUGGAGCACACUGAACUUAACCACUAGGUCACCAGGGUUGGCCCAACAGCUGGGAAUUCUGCUGGAGUUAUGAAAGCUACCUGGAAUUGCACUGUCUAGUCACCAGGGACCAACAAAGACAAGGCUUUGCAGGCAAGUCAAUAACUCUUCUCAACCAAAGCCCCACACUUCCCACCCCAAUCCUGUUGAAGGUGUAGACUGUAGGAGUCUAGAGACUGGAAGGCCUUUCAGAGCUCUUUUAGGACAGUGCUUCUCACACUGUCAGGGGCAUCAGAAUCACCAGGGAUCUUGUUACCAUGCACAUUCUGAUUCAACCGGUCUUGGGUGGGGUCUGCCAUUCUGCUUUCCUAACAAGCUCCAGGUGAGACCCAUGCUGCUGGUCGGUAGAUCACAUUUUGAGCAGCAUAGAUCUAAGCUAUGCCUUGCCAGUCUUUUAUAGAUGUCACAGGAAGCCUGUGUCCCAAACUCCAGAGUUCCCACUAUAUCAAUGGAAAACCUGAGGCCAAAAGAGGGAAGUGUUGCCUGAAGUCACAUAGCCAACUGGGGUUCGAGACCAGAGACAAAAGCACAGGCCAGCCUGCCCCAGGGAAGUGCAGAGCCGCAGAGGAAGAGGCUGGGGCAGGCACUGCCCUCCCACAGUCAGCCUCCUCCUAGCUGAAGGCAGGAGAGAGUUUCUGGUGACUCUGCCCCUCCUCAGGGUGGGAGAGCAUCUCCCAAGCCCCUGCAGAGCAUCCUGGGCUCUGGCUAGUGGACCCUCUAGAAACCUCACCCACCGGCUCACAGAGUGUCUCCAAACACUUUUCUGUGUAUGUGAAAUUACUCUGGAAAAGUACAUCCCCCUACCUCCACUUGCUAACUA